rnacentral:rRNA from 1 species
GACGAGCGCUGGCGGCGUGCCUAAUACAUGCAAGUUGAGCGCUGAAGGUUGGUGCUUGUACCAACUGGAUGAGCAGCGAACGGGUGAGUAACGCGUGGGGCAUCUGCCUUUGAGCGGGGGACAACAUUUGGAAACGAAUGCUAAUACCGCAUAAAAACUUUAAACACAAGUUUUAAGUUUGAAAGAUGCAAUUGCAUCACUCAAAGAUGAUCCCGCGUUGUAUUAGCUAGUUGGUGAGGUAAAGGCUCACCAAGGCGAUGAUACAUAGCCGCCCUGCGAGGGGGAUCGGCAACAUUGGGACUGAGACACGGCCCGAACUCCUACGGGAUGCAGCAGUAGGGCAUCUUCGGCAAUCGACGAAAGUUUGACCGAGCAACGCCGCGUGAGUGAAGAAGGUUAUCGGAUCGUAAAACUCUGUUGGUAGAGAAGAACGUUGGUGACAGUGGAAACCUCAUCAAGUGACGGUAACUACCCAGAAAGGGACGGCUAACUACGUG